UACGGAGGGUGCAAGCGUUAAUCGGAAUUACUGGGCGUAAAGCGUGCGUAGGCGGUUCGUUAAGUCUGUUGUGAAAGCCCCGGGCUCAACCUGGGAAUGGCGAUGAAGACUGCAAGGCUAGAAUCUGGCAGAGGGGGGUAGAAUUCCACGUGUAGCAGUGAAAUGCGUAGAUAUCUGGAGGAACACCGGUGGCGAAGGCGGCAUUCUGGACCGAUAUUGACGCUGAGGAGCGAAAGCCAGGGGAGCAAACGGG
rnacentral:rRNA from 1 species